GCCUACGGCCAUACCACCCUGGGUAUACCAGUUCACGUCUGAUUACUGAAGUCAAGUAGGGUUGGGCCAUGUCAGUACUUGGAUGGGUGACUGCCUAGGAACAAGUGGUGCUGUAGGUU
rnacentral:rRNA from 1 species